rnacentral:rRNA from 1 species
CGUACACUCCUACGGGAGGCAGCAGUGGGGAAUAUUGCACAAUGGGCGCAAGCCUGAUGCAGCCAUGCCGCGUGUAUGAAGAAGGCCUUCGGGUUGUAAAGUACUUUCAGCGGGGAGGAAGGCGAUAAGGUUAAUAACCUUGUCGAUUGACGUUACCCGCAGAAGAAGCACCGGCUAACUCCGUGCCAGCAGCCGCGGUAAUACGGAGGGUGCAAGCGUUAAUCGGAAUUACUGGGCGUAAAGCGCACGCAGGCGGUCUGUCAAGUCGGAUGUGAAAUCCCCAGGCUCAACCUGGGAACUGCAUUCGAAACUGGCAGGCUAGAGUCUUGUAGAGGGGGGUAGAAUUCCAGGUGUAGCGGUGAAAUGCGUAGAGAUCUGGAGGAAUACCGGUGGCGAAGGCGGCCCCCUGGACAAAGACUGACGCUCAGGUGCGAAAGCGUGGGGAGCAAACAGGAUUAGAAACCCCGGUAGUCCCAUGAU